GUUGACCUCGGAUCAGGUAGGAAUACCCGCUGAACUUAAGC
rnacentral:rRNA from 38 species